ACUCAAUGUCAUAUUUAGAUUUAGAGUUACUGACAUGAAUAGAAGCAUAUACAAGCAAUCUAUCAAAUGUAUUUUAUAAAGCCCCCUUUACAUCAGUAGUUGUCACAAAGUGCUUAUACAGCCGGCCUAAAACCCCAGAGAGCAAGCAAUGCAGAUGUAGAAGCACGGUGGCUAGGAAAAACUCCCUAGAAAGGCCAAAACCUAGGAAGAAACUUAGAGAGGAGCCAGGCUCUGAGGGUGGCCAGUCCUCUUCUGGCUGUGCCGGGUGGAGAUUAUAAACUUAGAGAGGAGCCAGGCUCUGAGGGUGGCCAGUCCUCUUCUGGCUGUGCCGGGUGGAGAUUAUAAACUUAGAGAGGAGCCAGGCUCUGAGGGUGGCCAGUCCUCUUCUGGCUGUGCCGGGUGGAGAUUAUAAACUUAGAGAGGAGCCAGGCUCUGAGGGUGGCCAGUCCUCUUCUGGCUGUGCUGGUGGAGAUUAUAAAAGAGUACAGCCCUUUAGGGCAGAUUGUUCUUCAAGAUCUUUAAAUGUUCAUAGAUGACCAGCAGUGUCAAAUAAUAAUAAUGACAGUGGUUGUAGAGGGUGCAAUAGUUCCAUGUAGUCAUGGCUGUUCCAGGACUGGAGUGGCACGCUGGAACUUCCAGAGGCUUGUAGACCUGAAGCAGUGUGAUGUGGUCCAGAUCUUACACCCUAUUAGCUCAACCACAGUCCUCACAGCUGCAGUUGUCUGUACCUGCUACACCGACCACAACAGGUGAUACAGAUCUGCCAUGCACUCCACCACUGCCUGACAGCCUCACCCAGAAGACACUGGGCCUAUCAAGACUGACAAAGCAGAGAUGGGUGGCUGACAAGGAACCAGGAGGAGAAAUUGGAGAAACUAAAAGCCAGCUGACAUGGAGCAAAGCCAGCAGAUUCAGCUGGAAUGGCAUUUUGUUGUAUGAUGAGAGAUGGAAAUAAAUUUGUGUAUGGUGUGAUAAUAGAACAGA